rnacentral:rRNA from 1 species
CAGUCGCCACGGUAAUACAGAGGGUGCGAGCGUUAAUCGGAUUUACUGGGCGUAAAGCGUGCGUAGGCGGCUUCUUAAGUCGGAUGUGAAAUCCCUGAGCUUAACUUAGGAAUUGCAUUCGAUACUGGGAAGCUAGAGUAUGGGAGAGGAUGGUAGAAUUCCAGGUGUAGCGGUGAAAUGCGUAGAGAUCUGGAGGAAUACCGAUGGCGAAGGCAGCCAUCUGGCCUAAUACUGACGCUGAGGUACGAAAGCAUGGGGAGCAAACAGGAUUAGAUACCCCCGUAGUCCCUGUCUCUUAACA